GACGAACCGUCCAACCGUUAUUCGGAAUCACUGGGCUUAAAGGGUGCGUAGGCGGCGCGGCAAGUUGGGUGUGAAAUACCUCGGCUUAACCGAGGAACUGCGCCCAAAACUGCCGUGCUUGAGGAAGAUAGAGGUGAGCGGAACUUAGGGUGGAGCGGUGAAAUGCGUUGAUAUCCUAAGGAACACCGGUGGCGAAAGCGGCUCACUGGAUCUUUUCUGACGCUGAGGCACGAAAGCUAGGGGAGCGAACGGG
rnacentral:rRNA from 1 species